CCUACGUGGAGCAGCAGUGGGGAAUAUUGGACAAUGGGCGAAAGCCUGAUCCAGCCAUGCCGCGUGUGUGAAGAAGGCCUUCGGGUUGUAAAGCACUUUCAGUGGGGAAGAAAGCCUUGGGGCUAAUACCCUCGAGGAAGGACAUCACCCACAGAAUAAGCACCGGCUAACUCCGUGCCAGCAGCCGCGGUAAUACGGAGGGUGCGAGCGUUAAUCGGAAUUACUGGGCGUAAAGCGCGCGUAGGCGGUCUGAUAAGCCGGUUGUGAAAGCCCCGGGCUCAACCUGGGAACGGCAUCCGGAACUGGCAGGCUAGAGUGCAGGAGAGGAAGGUAGAAUUCCCGGUGUAGCGGUGAAAUGCGUAGAGAUCGGGAGGAAUACCAGUGGCGAAGGCGGCCUUCUGGACUGACACUGACGCUGAGGUGCGAAAGCGUGGGUAGCAAACAGGAUUAGAUACCCUUGUAGUC
rnacentral:rRNA from 1 species